rnacentral:rRNA from 1 species
UACGGAGGGUGCAAGCGUUAUCCGGAUUCACUGGGCUUAAAGGGUGCGUAGGCGGGCAGGCAAGUCAGUGGUGAAAUCUUUGGGCUUAACCCGAAAACUGCCAUUGAUACUAUCUGUCUUGAAUAUUGUGGAGGUUUGCGGAAUAUGUCAUGUAGCGGUGAAAUGCUUAGAUAUGACAUAGAACACCUAUUGCGAAGGCAGCAAACUGGGCAUAUAUUGACGCUGAGGCACGAAAGCGUGGGGAUCAAACAGG